UACGUAGGUGGCGAGCGUUGUCCGGAAUUAUUGGGCGUAAAGGGCGCGUAGGCGGUCAUUUAAGUCAGGUGUGAAAGCCCCCGGCUCAACUGGGGAGCGUCAUUUGAUACUGGGUGACUAGAGUGCAGGAGAGGAAAGUGGAAUUCCAUGUGUAGCGGUGAAAUGCGUAGAUAUAUGGAGGAACACCAGUGGCGAAGGCGGCUUUCUGGACUGCAACUGACGCUGAGGCGCGAAAGCUGGGGGAGCGAACGGG
rnacentral:rRNA from 1 species